rnacentral:rRNA from 1 species
UGGGGAAUAUUGCACAAUGGAGGGAACUCUGAUGCAGCGACGCCGCGUGAGUGAUGAAGGAAUUCGUUUCGUAAAACUCUGUUCUAUGGGAAGAAAAGGACUGUACCAUAGGAGAAAGCUCCGGCUAAAUACGUGCCAGCAGGCGCGGUAAUACGUAUGGAGCGAGCGUUGUCCGGAAUUAUUGGGCGUAAAGGGUGCGCAGGCGGCUUUACAAGUUGGAUGUGAAAUAUUGUGGCUCAACCACAAGCGUGCAUCCAAAACUGCAGAGCUUGGGUUAAGGAGAGGUAAGUGGAAUUCCUGGUGUAGCGGUGGAAUGCGUAGAUAUCAGGAGGAAUACCGGUGGCGAAGGCGACUUACUGGACUUAUACUGACGCUCAGGCACGAAAGCGUGGGCAGCAAACAGG